rnacentral:tRNA from 2 species
UGCCGGGUGGCGCCUAUCAGACUCAUAACCUGAAGGUCGCAGGUUCAAAUCCUGCCCCCGCAA